UGAGGAAUAUUGGUCAAUGGGCGAGAGCCUGAACCAGCCAUGUCGCGUGAAGGAAGAAUGUCCUAUGGAUUGUAAACUUCUUUUAUACAGGAAUAAAGUGUACUACGUGUAGUAUUUUGUAUGUACUGUAUGAAUAAGGAUCGGCUAACUCCGUGCCAGCAGCCGCGGUAAUACGGAGGAUCCGAGCGUUAUCCGGAUUUAUUGGGUUUAAAGGGUGCGUAGGCGGAAUAGCAAGUCAGUGGUGAAAGUUUGCAGCUUAACUGUAAAAUUGCCAUUGAAACUGCUGUUCUUGAGUACAGUAGAGGUAGGCGGAAUGUGUAGUGUAGCGGUGAAAUGCAUAGAUAUUACACAGAACACCGAUUGCGAAGGCAGCUUGCUGGGCCAAUACUGACGCUGAUGCACGAAAGCGUGGGGAUCGAACA
rnacentral:rRNA from 1 species